GUAGGUGGCAAGCGUUGUCCGGAAUUAUUGGGCGUAAAGCGCGCGCAGGCGGUUCUUUAAGUCUGAUGUGAAAGCCCACGGCUCAACCGUGGAGGGUCAUUGGAAACUGGAGAACUUGAGUACAGAAGAGGAAAGCGGAAUUCCACGUGUAGCGGUGAAAUGCGUAGAGAUGUGGAGGAACACCAGUGGCGAAGGCGGCCUUCUGGUCUGUAACUGACGCUGAGGCGCGAAAGCGUGGGGGGCAAACAGGGAUUAGAUACCCUGGUAGUCCACGCCGUAAACGAUGAGUGCUAAGUGUUAGGGGGUUUCCCGCCCCUUAGUGCUGCAGCUAACGCAUUAAGCACUCCGCCUGGGGAGUACGGCCGCAAGGCUG
rnacentral:rRNA from 1 species